CACGUAGGGUGCAAGCGUUAUCCGGAAUUAUUGGGCGUAAAGAGCUCGUAGGCGGUUUGUCGCGUCUGCCGUGAAAGUCCGGGGCUCAACUCCGGAUCUGCGGUGGGUACGGGCAGACUAGAGUGAUGUAGGGGAGACUGGAAUUCCUGGUGUAGCGGUGAAAUGCGCAGAUAUCAGGAGGAACACCGAUGGCGAAGGCAGGUCUCUGGGCAUUAACUGACGCUGAGGAGCGAAAGCAUGGGGAGCGAACAGG
rnacentral:rRNA from 1 species